CCUACGGGAGGCAGCAGUGAGGAAUAUUGGUCAAUGGACGAGAGUCUGAACCAGCCAAGCAGCGUGAAGGAUGACUGCCCUAUGGGUUGUAAACUUCUUUUAUAAAGGAAUAAAACGAGGCACGUGUGCCUUUUUGCAUGUACUUUAUGAAUAAGGAUCGGCUAACUCCGUGCCAGCAGCCGCGGUAAUACGGAGGAUCCGAGCGUUAUCCGGAUUUAUUGGGUUUAAAGGGAGCGUAGAUGGGUUGUUAAGUCAGUUGUGAAAGGUUGCGGCUCAACCGUAAAAGUGCAAUUGAUACUGGCAGUCUUGAGUACAGUAGAGGUAGGCGGAAUUCGUGGUGUAGCGGUGAAAUGCUUAGAUAUCACGAAGAACCCCGAUUGCGAAGGCAGCUUACUAAACUGUGACUGACAUUGAUGCUCGAAAGUGUGGGUAUCAAACAGGAUUAGAUACCCUUGUAGUC
rnacentral:rRNA from 1 species